UACGUAGGUGGCAAGCGUUGUCCGGAUUUACUGGGCGUAAAGGGCGUGCAGGCGGUCUGUUAAGUCUAGGGUGAAAGCUCCCGGCUCAACUGGGAGAGGUCCUUGGAUACUGGCGGACUUGAGGGAGGCAGAGGAAAGUGGAAUUCCCGGUGUAGUGGUGAUAUGCGUAGAUAUCGGGAGGAACACCAAUGGCGAAGGCGGCCUUCUGGGCCUUAACUGACGCUGAGGAGCGAAAGCGUGGGGAGCGAACCGG
rnacentral:rRNA from 1 species